AGCGGAAAGGGUGGGCAAAAGUGUCGCCAACCCGGUCAGGUCCGGAAGGAAGCAGCCGUAACGAUUCCUUUUGGGUCGCCCUUUCUACUUAA
rnacentral:SRP_RNA from 1 species